GAAAAGUACUAAACAUAUUUGAAGAGCAGUUAUAUGCUGAAUGAGUGAUAGAUUCAGGGAUGACUUGAAGCUGGAACUGCUCAAGAACAGCUUCCCAAUGAGGUGUGACCUUCUCUCUGGGAGUGUCCAGGUCUGCACUGGGUGGGGGGGUUGAACAAGAGAGAGGCUAAGUGUGAGAAAGGAUGGGAUGAAAAGGAAAAUGACUUUUACUGAGCAUCUGCUACAGAUUGGUUUCUAUGCUGCAAAGCUGAGAUUAAAAAUCAAAAUAAGUUCUGCAAUGAACUAAAGCUGGUAAGAGUUGGAGCUGAGACCCGAAUCCAGGACUUCCUGGCUCUGGAGCACAAAUUUGAAGCAGCCUUCUUCACCUGCAGGAGCCAGGCCUGCAUCAGUCACCUGUUUAUAAGGCCAGCAAGUCUGAUCACCUCUUGCAAUCAACAAACAGGUUUCCAUGGAGGCAGAAGGAAGAUAAGGUUGGAG
rnacentral:lncRNA from 1 species